rnacentral:rRNA from 1 species
AACGAACGCUGGCGGCAGGCCUAACACAUGCAAGUCGAACGAACUCUUCGGAGUUAGUGGCGGACGGGUGAGUAACACGUGGGAACGUGCCUUUUGGUUCGGAAUAACUCAGGGAAACUUGUGCUAAUACCGAAUGUGCCCUUCGGGGGAAAGAUUUAUCGCCAUUAGAGCGGCCCGCGUCUGAUUAGCUAGUUGGUGAGGGAAUGGCUCACCAAGGCUACGAUCAGUAGCUGGUCUGAGAGGAUGAUCAGCCACAUUGGGACUGAGACACGGCCCAAACUCCUACGGGAGGCAGCAGUGGGGAAUCUUGCGCAAUGGGCGAAGGCCUGACGCAGCCAUGCCGCGUGAAUGAUGAAGGUCUUAGGAUUGUAAAAUUCUUUCACCGGGGACGAUAAUGACGGUACCCGGAGAAGAAGCCCCGGCUAACUUCGUGCCAGCAGCCGCGGAAACAC